rnacentral:rRNA from 1 species
UGAGGAAUAUUGGUCAAUGGGCGGGAGCCUGAACCAGCCAAGUCGCGUGAGGGAAGACGGUCCUAUGGAUUGUAAACCUCUUUUGUCGGGGAGCAAAGAGGCCACGUGUGGUCAAAAGCGAGAGUACCCGAAGAAAAAGCAUCGGCUAACUCCGUGCC